GUCUAUGGCCAUGCCACCCUACACAAGCCCAAUGUCUGAUCUCGGAAGCUAAGCAGGAUCGGGCCUGGUUAGUACUUGGAUUGGAGACCACCUAGGAAGACGAGGAGCUGUAGGCA
rnacentral:rRNA from 1 species